GCAGAGCCACAACCAUGUUUGUGGGUGCUAUUGAGCCGGACGAACGCCCCACAUAGGCGGGGUGAGCAACAUCGGC
rfam:Alcaligenes sp. EGD-AK7 Contig1, whole genome shotgun sequence.